UCUAUGUUCUUAAAGGCCCAUUUCCAGUUUGCAAGAAGUGAAAGUAAAUGGGAAUUUAUUACAACCAAAACACUCUGAAAGUGGUUGAUUGAACAGUAAUUUAAGUUAUUUCAUUCUCAACACACAUGAUGUUUGUCGCGGCAGAAUGCACCCCAACGUCUUUUAAAGACUUUACCCUGAUUAUGCCAGCAAUCUCUGUUGGAAAUGUGGGGCAGCUGGCAGUGGACCUGAUUGUUUCUACGCUCAACAUGUGUCGAGUCGGAUACAUCCACACUGACUGUCUCAUCCCUAUGGCAGGGAACAACCCUUAUGCUACAUUCGCUGAGAACGCCAACGACCUCAGUACCAAUGCAGAAGUGUACUCUUCUCCAGAGUUGAGGUUGGCAGUUCUUCAGAUCAGAACCCCAAUUAUCCAGACAAAGUCCAAGAAGUUCUGUAAGCUGAUGGUGUCUUGGAUCAAAGCCAGUGGUUUCUCCAGGACUGUCGUGCUGUCCAGCAGUCAUGCUUACCAGAGGGAUGACCAACAGCUACUGGGGUCUCCCCUGCGUUACCUGCAGACUCCCUCCAUGCAGAAGUUGACUGGUGACCGGCUGAAGGAGAUGGAGUGGAAGGAGAUGGAGACAGUAUCUACCUUCCCUGGGGUUACUGACUCAGAGCAGCGCCUCUAUAUACCUGGAGGGGGCGCCACUAAAGGCCUCUUCACUGACAGAUGUUUGAGGCUGGUGUAUCAAACAGAAAGUAAAAGAUGCAAAAACUACAUUUAAGAAUGGGAAGUAUAGAGAUCUGUACCGUGUCUUAGACUGGCUUUCAAUGAGGCUUUAAGGUUUUCUUCAUGGUGUUGUCUCUGUGUUCCAGCUGUGCUGAGGACAUUCCUCUGGUGGUGGUGCUGAUCUUCUGCUCUGAAGGAGACAACAUCCCAGACGCCUUCACUCUCCUCAACCACCUCAACACCUGGCUCCACCUAGUGGACGCACCUGCCCAGACGCAGCCAAAGUGGAGGAUACCAGCAUCAUGGAGGCUUCUCUUUGGCAGUGGCAUCCCCCCUGCACUCUUCUAAAUCACCCAGUGGAAUCUCCCCUGCCCCAACUCUCCUAAAUCACCCAGUGGAAUCUCCCCUGCCCCCCUGCCCCAACCCCCCCACCCUCUCCAGAAAUUGGUGACUCAACCCAGAUUAUAGGUUGGUCUGAAUGUUUAGAAAAUGGGUGACAGCAUCUUUGGUGUUAUGAGUCCAGGUUUAUAGUCCUGAAGUGUGCCUAGUGGUUAUCAUUACCUACCCUGCUGAUGAGAAUCAAUAUUUACUCUACGGUUAUUAAAAGUAUUAAAUCAUC